GAUGGACAAAUACAAACAUAAAAGUGGGGCCUUAAAGAGGAAAGAGAGGGUGGACAAGUUAUUCGUGACACAAAAACUACCCAAAAUAGACAGUUUUUUGUGCCGACCUAGUGCGAAUGACACUGAUGUCGAAUGUGAGAGGGAAGUUUCGUCAGCUAAUAUUAGCAGUUGCACGUCUUUGGAUGAGAACAACAAUGCAGCUGACAGCUUGAUGAGGUUCCAAGUGUCGGGAAGUGAAGAAGCAGCCGCAGACGAGCCAAAAGCUGGAUAUUCGGCGGGAAAUAUGUCAGCGAGUUCCACAACAGAUAAAGGACAGUAUCCAGACACACUAACAGAUGGGCAAGUAAAGCAUUUUAUUGUGUCACAAGGUUCAUGCAAACCCCCCGGUCCAUUUCCUCGAGAUCCAUUGCAAGGAGACCGGUGUUUUUCGACUAGUUUUUACUCCACCACAACAAAAGCUGGUAUUCAGCUACCGCGAUCUUGGUUGUGUUACUCGCCUAAGCUUGACGCUGCAUAUUGUGAACCAUGCUGGCUAUUUGCUGACCGCAGUCACAAAAGCUACCACGUGGCAUGGACGCAAGGGAUUAGAACAUGGCAGACCCUGUCAAAUAAAAAUUCCAGGCAUGAAAGCGCAGAGUGCCAUGUAGCAGCUUGCAGUGUUUAUGAUCAGUGGCGUCUGCAUGGUACUAUUGAUGAGGCGUCAGAACAGCAAAUCCGUGAACAAGUUAACUUUUGGAGGCAGGUUCUUGAACGGAUCAUUAAUGUCACUUUAACUCUGGCAUCAAACAACCUUGCAUUUCGGGGACACUUCGAAAACAAUGAAAGUGUCAACAAAGGUCAUUUUCUCUCCAUCAUCGACCUACUGGCCAAGUAUGAUCCAUAUUUGAAGGAGCUGCUCAGUCGCCCUGAUGGUUCCGUUAAGUAUCUCAGCCCACAAAUCCAAAAUGAACUUAUAGGUAUACUCUCUGAGACUGUCCAGAAAGAAAUUAUCAGUGAAAUUAAGGCUGCGCCGUUUUUCUCAGUGAUCAUGGAUACGACUCAAGAUGUAUCUAAAGUGGAUCAGAUGAGUCAAAUCUUUCGGUAUGUAACCAUAGAGAGAGAUAGCCAGAGUGCUGCAAUGGCUGUGAAAAUCAACGAGUCUUUUUUGGGAUUCUUGCAAAUACCUGACUCGUCCGCAGGCACAAUAGCCAACGAAAUUAUAUGUUCGGUUGAGGAAAAAGGUCUCGAUAUUUCGAAAUGCCGUGGCCAAGGAUUUGAUGGUGCCACGAAUAUGAGCGGCAUCUAUACGGGAGUUCAGGCAAGGAUACAGAAGAGACAGCCAAAUGCAACAUAUGUACACUGCACUGCCCAUAAUUUAAAUCUGGUCCUCAAUGAUUCAGUCAAGUCAAUAACAGAGCUGACAAAGUUUUACAACACCAUGGAAAAAUUGUGUUUUUUGCGCACAGUAUGAGGUGGAAUGUAUUGGUUGAGAUGACUGAAAAACUCACUUCGGGUGUCACGCUGAAAAAACUGUGCGCUACUAGGUGGGCAUCGCGCAAUGAUGCUGUGUCUGCAGCCAGAUACAGAUAUGUUGAGGUGUUGAAGGCCCUGACCAACAUUUCACUUACCAGUAAAAAGGCAGAUGAGCGCAACGAGGCCAUGGCUUUGAUAAGGCUGAUGGAAAGAUUUGACUUCGUUUUUAUUAUAGUCUUUCAAAGUGAAGUCCUGGAACAGAUCAAUGUAAUUUCAAAAAUGCUUCAGGCAAAGGAUGCUGACCUUCAUAAAGCUACAGAGUUACUUGACACUGCCAUCGCGGAGUUGACAAGGUUCAGAGAAAAUUUCGAGGAGGCAAAAGUAACCGCAGAAUUCAUGGCUGAGAAGUGGGGAGUGAAACAAACCUUUGAAAAUGAAAGAAUUAGAAGGGCAAAGCGCCAUUAAGAUGAAUUCUGUCAGGACGAGCGUCUGGCUGAUGCUGAAAGUUACUUUAAGGUAAAUGUAUUUAACGCUUGCCUAGACAUCAUCAUUUCCCAGCUGAGUCGGCGAUUUUCAGCUUUGCGAUCAGUUGCCGAUUUGUUCAGAGUGGUCCAGCCGCACAUACUUGCAACUGAGGAGAAGAACGCUAUAUACGAGGGGGCACAGAGGUUAGUGGAGAGAUACAACCAAGACUUGUCUCCAGCCCUUCCACAACAACUGAUCGCAUUCCGUGCAGCCUUUAAAAGACAAAUCUCUGGGAUGACUACAGUUCAAGAUCUGGCCAGUUUUUUGAUUGUUGAGAACAACUCUAUCACAUCUAGCUUCAGUGACAUGUGCACCGUUUUAGUUCUCUUUCUUACUAUCCCUGUUACUGUUGCUGCAGCGGAGCGCUCUUUUUCAAAACUGAAGCUCAUCAAAAAUUAUUUGCGGAGCACCAUGUCGCAGAACAGACUAUCAGGACUGGCUAUUCUUUCCAUCAAGAAUGAACGAAGCCGUGAAUUAAACACCAGGGACAUCGUGAAUGAAUUUGCUGAAAGAAAGGCCCGGAGAAUGCAAUUAAAAUGACAUACACAGACUCAUGGCCAAGCUAGCACUGAACAGCCCUGAAUUAAAGUCUAUCAAACAGGGGGUCAAGAAUCGGUUCAAAUGGAGCUGGUUGCUGGAGACUGUCCAAGUUGAGGGAAACACUUUCUCACUCAAUUGCUUUAGCAAAAUUAGAGAACCAGGCAAAGCUAUUUGCAACAUUUGCAACCACCCUAUUAACUAUGGCACAAGUGGGAAGAUUGCACUCCGGAAACAUAUGAUGCAUCCAAAACAUGUGAAACUGUGGAAGAUCCAACAGCAGAACAUGCACAUUGAGAUCGCACGAGCUGAUAACAUCAUUGUUGCGGCUCCGCACAACAACUCGGCGCAACCCAGAUCAAUUCCUCCUCUAUGCAACCGUAUUGCUCAGGAUCAAGAUGAGGAGGAUCCUUCAACUGCAGCUGCAGGGAACAAAACUUCCGCGUUCACUUUCAGUGACAGUGAUAAUAAUGAUGACUACGUCUAUGACGAAAAAGACGACAAUUCCAUUUCCAAUGAACAACUAAUGAGUACUAGCAGUCAUUCUGACCAAUGUGUUACACUUGAACUUGAAGAUGACCCAGCACUCUGGCCAAAACAUCUCACUGACAAAGAGCGCUGCUCAAUAGUGCAGAGAGGCCCAGUUCAGAGCAAGGAUAGAAUUUAUCCUAAAAAUCAAGAGGGCAGAAGAUUUACAAACAGCAAUUAUUACCUGCAAAUGAAGAAUGGAGAAAAAAUAAAGAGGUCCUGGCUCGUGUACAGUGAAAAAAAUGACUGUGUUUUGUGCUUUUGUUGCCGCUUGUUUGGUAACCGAGAAAAGGCCACUCAGCUAAGUGCAGAUGGGUUUAAUUACUGGAAAAAUCUUUCUGCACACUUGAGACAGCAUGAGAGGUCAGCAGAACACAUCACAAACAUGGAUGCUUGGCGCAAUCUUUCACAGAAACUACAAACCAACACAGCUAUAGAUCAGGUAAACCAAGAUCUAAUUGCUCUUGAAGUAAACCGCUGGAAAGAGAUUUUAAGACGACUUAUUGCAAUUGUAAACUAUCUGGCAGAGCACAAUCUUGCAUUUCGUGGCCACUCAGACAAAUUGUUUGAGGCUGGUAAUGGAAAUUUUCUUGGACAAGUGCAAUUAAUGGCUCAGUUUGACCCAGUGAUGCGAGAGCAUCUGAGGAGAAUUCAGGCAAAACAGCUAAGUGACACCUAUUUAAGCAAGAAUAUCCAAAAUGAACUUAUUUCCCUUGUGGCAAAAUGUACAACUGAUGCAAUUGUAGAGAGAGUGAAAACAGCCAAAUACUAUGCAGUAAUUAUGGACUGCACUCCAGACCUCAGUCACAAUGAGCAGCUCUCAGUGGUGCUACGAAUUGUUAAUUGUGAAUUAUCAAAGGGUGUCUCCAUCCAUGAGCACUUUGUUGGAUUUCUUCAGGCACUUGACACAACAGGAAAAGGCUUAUGUGAGACAUUUUUAGGCCAACUAGAAACACUAGGAUUGGAUCUUUGCAAUUGUCGAGGCCAGUCUUACGAUAACGGGAGCAACAUGCAGGGUAAAAAGCAGGGAGUCCAAAAGAGAGUGCUGGAAAUAAACAACAAAGCGUUAUAUGUUCCUUGUGGAAGUCACACACUGAACCUUGUUGUUGGUGAUGCAGCCAAGUCCUCCGUGACGUCCAUCAGCUUCUUUGGGCUGAUACAGCGACUUUACAAUCUUUUCAGCUCUUCAGUUCAACGUUGGAGUAUUCUCAAAGAACACGUCAAGAAUUUGACACUUAAAGCAUUGUCAACAACCAGGUGGGAGUGUAGAGUUGAAGCUGUGAAAGCUGUUCGCUACCAGCUGCCUGAAAUCGUGAAGGCAUUAACUGCUUUAAAGGAGUACGCCACAGAGAAAAGAGAUGCAGAUGUUGUCUCAACAGCUGAAAGCAUCUGCAAGGAGCUGCAGAAAUGGCCUUUUGUGUAACACAAGACAGAAGUCCAAAAACAACAUGUAGCAGCAAGCAGAUCCAUAUAGAAGAUACUAUCAGAACAACCAAGAUACAACUCCAGAUGUCUAUACAUCAUUGCUGUGUGAAGACUGCUGAAGAGAAGUAACAAGCACUCAUUCUUGGAUUCAUUGCUGAAAAUUCUCUUCCCCUGUCAGUCACGUCUGGGAUUAUUAAAUUGGCUCAAGAGUUGGCCAAAGA